GGGGAUGUAGCUCAGUUGGGAGAGCACCUGCCUUGCAAGCAGGGGGUCGAGAGUUCGAAUCUCUUCAUCUCCAC
rnacentral:tRNA from 8 species